CCUACGGGAGGCAGCAGUGGGGAAUAUUGCACAAUGGGGGGAACCCUGAUGCAGCGACGCCGCGUGAGUGAAGAAGUAUUUCGGUAUGUAAAGCUCUAUCAGCAGGGAAGAAAAUGACGGUACCUGACUAAGAAGCCCCGGCUAACUACGUGCCAGCAGCCGCGGUAAUACGUAGGGGGCAAGCGUUAUCCGGAUUUACUGGGUGUAAAGGGAGCGCAGACGGCUGUGCAAGUCUGGAGUGAAAGGCGGGGGGCCAACCCCCGGACUGCGGUGGAAACUGUAAAGCUGGAGUGCAGGAGAGGUAAGCGGAAUGCCUAGUGUAGCGGUGAAAUGCGUAGAUAUUAGGAGGAACACCAGUGGCGAAGGCGGCUUACUGGACUGCAACUGACGUUGAGGCUCGAAAGCGUGGGGAGCAAACAGGAGUAGAUACCCGGGUAGUC
rnacentral:rRNA from 1 species